CCUACGGGAGGCAGCAGUAAGGAAUAUUGGACAAUGCUCGCAAGAGUGAUCCAGCCAUGCCGCGUGCAGGAAGAAUGCCCUAUGGGUAGUAAACUGCUUUUGAACUAGAGAAAACCCCAGUACGUGUACUGGGCUGAUAGUAUAGUUAGAAUAAGCAUCGGCUAACUUCGUGCCAGCAGCCGCGGUAAGACGAAGGAUGCAAGCGUUAUCCGGAUUCAUUGGGUUUAAAGGGAGCGUAGGUGGACUGAUAAGUCAGUGGUGAAAUCUCCGAGCUUAACUCGGAAAUUGCCAUUGAUACUGUUGGUCUUGAGUACAGUUGCUGUGGGCGGAAUAUGACAUGUAGUGGUGAAAUACAUAGAGAUGUCAUAGAACACCGAUUGCGAAGGCAGCUCACAAAGCUGUAACUGACACUGAGGCUCGAAAGUGCGGGGAUCAAACAGGAUUAGAUACCCUGGUAGUCCGCACCGUAAACGAUGAUUACUCGCUGCUAGGGGGCAACCUUUAGUGGCUUAGCGAAAGCGAANAGANACACGUGGAGACGCGCGACGAGAGACGAGAGAGAGNGNGNGAGAGCGACGACGCGACGAGGAGGGAGGAGG
rnacentral:rRNA from 1 species